GGGGAUGUAGCUCAGUGAUAGAGCACAUGCUUAGUAUAUGUGAGGCCCUGGGUUCAAUUCCCAGUAUCACCA
rnacentral:tRNA from 1 species